GGACGUGAGGGUGACCUGGCUGUGACAUCUGUCACCCCGUUGAUGGCUGAGGUUGAUUUGGCUGAUCUGGCUGGCCAGGCGGGUGUCUCCUUCCUCCCUCACUGCUCCAUGUGCACCCCUCCUGAGGCUGUGUGCUCUGUGGAAGAGGACAGCCUUCCCUGAUAGAGGAGGACUGUUCUUCAGUCAAGGGUAUAAGAGUAGCUACAUCCCCACCCCCGCUAGAACCUCCAAACAAGCUCUCGAAGUCCAUUUGUAGGAGAAUGUAGGGUAGUCAAGCUUCCAAGACUCCAGACACAUCCAGAUGAGGCGCUGCGUGUAUCAGUCUGCCUUUCUUA
ensembl:misc_RNA 7SK 7SK RNA